CAAAUUGUUUCUAUAAGCUUCUAACAAUUGAAGAUUGGCCAAAUUACCAAUUUCAGACGGUAAUUUGCCUGUGAGGCUGUUGUUGAUGAGGCUUACGAACAACAAUUCAGUGCAGUUGCAUAUACUAUCAGGUAUUUCACCAGAAAGAAAGUUUCGGUAAAGAAUGAGCUGAACCAUCUCAGUGCAACGCCCCAGCUUGGCUGGAAUAUUUCCAGUAAAUGAAUUCAAAGUUAGAUCAAGAACCUGGAGUUUGGAGAGGUUCCCUAUAAACGGAGAAAUCUCGCCUUUGAGAUGCAUCCCAACAAGCGAAAUGUUGAUGACAUGGUUUGAAGAAGGAUCACAUAUGAUUCCAGACCAGUUGCAAAUGUGAUUUGCAUCAGUCCAAUCCACAAGUGCACCAAAAGGGUCAUCAGUGACUGAAUUCUUAAAGGCUUUCAAAGCAGCAACUUCUACUUCCAAACUUGGAGUUUGCCCAAAGGACAAAGCUAUGAAAAAGGUACUAAAAGAAAUGGCUAAUGCAUAUACAUUUGUCUUUGACAUCAUUGGUUCAAAAGAAAGAAGUUUCACUCUCUUUACAAACUUAAGCUGAAAAUGAAUAGUUUAUACAUUUUUUAAUGAUAUUUGCUCACUGUUUUCUGUUGAAGAAGUCAACUAAUCAUCAAAACUAAAGUAAAAUCUUGUAUUCUAUGAAGUUGUCAAAAUUCCUACAAAAACUAGUCCUGUUAAUAGAAAAUUGAGUGCAUUCACAUUA